rnacentral:tRNA from 1 species
GCCUCCAUGGCGUAGUGGUUUAAAUGCUGGACUAUGACUCUGGAGACCAGGGUCCGAAUCCCUGCUUGGCCA